rnacentral:tRNA from 1 species
AAAAACUUAGGAUAACCAAACCGAGAACCUUCAAAGUUCAAAAUACGGGUGAAACCCCCAUAGUUUUUG